rnacentral:rRNA from 1 species
UACCUGGAGAGGAAGCCCCGGCUAACUCUGUGCCAGCAGCCGCGGUAAUACAGAGGGGGCAAGCGUUAUUCGGAAUUAUUGGGCGUAAAGGGCGCGUAGGCGGUUUUUUAAGUCAGAUGUGUAAUCCCCGAGCUCAACUUGGGAACUGCAUCUGAGACUGGAAGGCUAGAGUACUGGAGAGGGUGGUGGAAUUCCUCGUGUAGCGGUGAAAUGCGUAGAGAUGAGGAGGAACACCAGUGGCGAAGGCGGCCACCUGGACAGUAACUGACGCUGAGGCGCGAAAGUGUGGGUAGCAAACAGGAUUAGAUACCCUGGUAGU